AAAUUUUUUAAUUGAAAACAAUUUUGUAAUGACAGAUAUAGGCAAGUUUAAAAUCAUUUCUUGCCCAUAAGGUUUCAAAUUUUAAUAAUUCUUCUUGUAAAAGUAUUACAUUUUAAUCUAUGGG